rnacentral:ncRNA from 1 species
AGCUGUUAGUGUCGUGCAGCUAGCAACGCGCGAGGACAUGUUCCACGUUGCGUCAAGCGGCUGUACUUCCAUGGUCUGACGUGCGACGGCUAACUCAGAACUGGCACGGACCAGGGGAGUCCGACUGUCCAAUUAAAACGAAGCAUUGCGAUGUCCACUGAUUUACUUUGACGCAAUAUGAUUUCUGCCCAGUGCCCUGAAUGUCAAAAUGAAGAAAUUCAACCGAGCGCGGGUAAACGGCGUGAGUAACUAUGACCCUCUAGCACAUUGCUCUCCAUCGUCUUCCGAAUCUUUGGUCGUUUCUUCGCCUCCUCGACAUCGUUUCCGGUUCAAUUCUAUCAAUUCAAUACUACUCAAGACGGUGAUUCGGGACGUAUAGAUUUUUAUUA